rnacentral:rRNA from 1 species
AGAGAGCUUGCUUCUCUUGAGAGCGGCGGACGGGUGAGUAAUGCCUAGGAAUCUGCCUGGUAGUGGGGGAUAACGUUCGGAAACGGACGCUAAUACCGCAUACGUCCUACGGGAGAAAGCAGGGGACCUUCGGGCCUUGCGCUAUCAGAUGAGCCUAGGUCGGAUUAGCUAGUUGGUGGGGUAAUGGCUCACCAAGGCGACGAUCCGUAACUGGUCUGAGAGGAUGAUCAGUCACACUGGAACUGAGACACGGUCCAGACUCCUACGGGAGGCAGCAGUGGGGAAUAUUGGACAAUGGGCGAAAGCCUGAUCCAGCCAUGCCGCGUGUGUGAAGAAGGUCUUCGGAUUGUAAAGCACUUUAAGUUGGGAGGAAGGGCCAUUACCUAAUACGUGAUGGUUUUGACGUUACCGACAGAAUAAGCACCGGCUAACUCUGUGCCAGCAGCCGCGGUAAUACAGAGGGUGCAAGCGUUAAUCGGAAUUACUGGGCGUAAAGCGCGCGUAGGUGGUUUGUUAAGUUGGAUGUGAAAUCCCCGGGCUCAACCUGGGAACUGCAUUCAAAACUGACUGACUAGAGUAUGGUAGAGGGUGGUGGAAUUUCCUGUGUAGCGGUGAAAUGCGUAGAUAUAGGAAGGAACACCAGUGGCGNNNNNGACCACCUGGACUGAUACUGACACUGANNNNCGAAAGCGNNNNGAGCAAACAGGAUUAGAUACC